GACGGAGGGUGCAAGCGUUGUUCGGAUUGACUGGGCGUAAAGGGCGUGUAGGCGGUUGGUCAAGUCUGAUGUGAAAGCCCGGGGCUCAGCUCCGGAAGGGCAUCGGAAACUAGCCAGCUGGAGCGCGAUAGAGGAGGGCGGAAUCCUGGUGUAGCGGUGAAAUGCGUAGAUAUCAGGAGGAACACCGGCGGCGAAGGCGGCCCUCUGGAUCGUUGCUGACGCUGAGACGCGAAAGCGUGGGGAGCAAACAGG
rnacentral:rRNA from 1 species